rnacentral:tRNA from 1 species
GGCUUUGUAUUCAAAAAUGAUUCUAAAUUGCAAAUUUAGAGGGGGUGUUUACACCACUAGCUU